rnacentral:rRNA from 1 species
AGUGAACGCUGGCGGUAGGCCUAACACAUGCAAGUCGAACGGCAGCACAGUAAGAGCUUGCUCUUACGGGUGGCGAGUGGCGGACGGGUGAGGAAUACAUCGGAAUCUACUUUUUCGUGGGGGAUAACGUAGGGAAACUUACGCUAAUACCGCAUACGACCUACGGGUGAAAGCAGGGGAUCUUCGGACCUUGCGCGAUUGAAUGAGCCGAUGUCGGAUUAGCUAGUUGGCGGGGUAAAGGCCCACCAAGGCGACGAUCCGUAGCUGGUCUGAGAGGAUGAUCAGCCACACUGGAACUGAGACACGGUCCAGACUCCUACGGGAGGCAGCAGUGGGGAAUAUUGGACAAUGGGCGCAAGCCUGAUCCAGCCAUACCGCGUGAGUGAAGAAGGCCUUCGGGUUGUAAAGCCCUUUUGUUGGGAAAGAAAAGCAGCAGGUUAAUACCCCGCUGUUCUGACGGUACCUAAAGAAUAAGCACCGGCUAACUUCGUG